UUAGCGGCGGACGGGUGAGUAACACGUGGGUAACCUGCCUGUAAGACUGGGAUAACUCCGGGAAACCGGGGCUAAUACCGGAUGCUUGAUUGAACCGCAUGGUUCAAUUAUAAAAGGUGGCUUUUAGCUACCACUUACAGAUGGACCCGCGGCGCAUUAGCUAGUUGGUGAGGUAACGGCUCACCAAGGCGACGAUGCGUAGCCGACCUGAGAGGGUGAUCGGCCACACUGGGACUGAGACACGGCCCAGACUCCUACGGGAGGCAGCAGUAGGGAAUCUUCCGCAAUGGACGAAAGUCUGACGGAGCAACGCCGCGUGAGUGAUGAAGGUUUUCGGAUCGUAAAACUCUGUUGUUAGGGAAGAACAAGUACCGUUCGAAUAGGGCGGUACCUUGACGGUACCUAACCAGAAAGCCACGGCUAACUACGUGCCAGCAGCCGCGGUAAUACGUAGGUGGCAAGCGUUGUCCGGAAUUAUUGGGCGUAAAGCGCGCGCAGGCGGUUUCUUAAGUCUGAUGUGAAAGCCCCCGGCUCAACCGGGGAGGGUCAUUGGAAACUGGGGAACUUGAGUGCAGAAGAGGAGAGUGGAAUUCCACGUGUAGCGGUGAAAUGCGUAGAGAUGUGGAGGAACACCAGUGGCGAAGGCGACUCUCUGGUCUGUAACUGACGCUGAGGCGCGAAAGCGUGGGGAGCGAACAGGAUUAGAUACCCUGGUAGUCCACGCCGUAAACGAUGAGUGCUAAGUGUUAGAGGGUUUCCGCCCUUUAGUGCUGCAGCAAACGCAUUAAGCACUCCGCCUGGGGAGUACGGUCGCAAGACUGAAACUCAAAGGAAUUGACGGGGGCCCGCACAAGCGGUGGAGCAUGUGGUUUAAUUCGAAGCAACGCGAAGAACCUUACCAGGUCUUGACAUCCUCUGACAACCCUAGAGAUAGGGCUUCCCCUUCGGGGGCAGAGUGACAGGUGGUGCAUGGUUGUCGUCAGCUCGUGUCGUGAGAUGUUGGGUUAAGUCCCGCAACGAGCGCAACCCUUGAUCUUAGUUGCCAGCAUUCAGUUGGGCACUCUAAGGUGACUGCCGGUGACAAACCGGAGGAAGGUGGGGAUGACGUCAAAUCAUCAUGCCCCUUAUGACCUGGGCUACACACGUGCUACAAUGGGCAGAACAAAGGGCAGCGAAGCCGCGAGGCUAAGCCAAUCCCACAAAUCUGUUCUCAGUUCGGAUCGCAGUCUGCAACUCGACUGCGUGAAGCUGGAAUCGCUAGUAAUCGCGG
rnacentral:rRNA from 1 species